rnacentral:rRNA from 1 species
GUCCACGCCGUAAACGAUGGUCACUAGGUGUUUGGUGGAUUAACCCACUGAGUACCAAAGCUCACGCAUUAAGUGACCCGCCUGGGGAGUACGGUCGCAAGGCUAAAACUCAAAGGAAUUGACGGGGGCCCGCACAAGCGGUGGAGUAUGUGGUUUAAUUCGAAGCAACGCGAAGAACCUUACCUGGCCUUGACAUCCCGUGACAAUCUCAGAGAUGAGACUUUCCCUUCGGGGACGCGGUGACAGGUGCCGCAUGGCU